GAGCUGCCCUAUGAUGGACUAU
rnacentral:miRNA from 1 species